rnacentral:rRNA from 1 species
UACGUAGGGUGCAAGCGUUAAUCGGAAUUACUGGGCGUAAAGCGUGCGCAGGCGGUUUUGUAAGUCUGUCGUGAAAGCCCCGGGCUCAACCUGGGAAUUGCGAUGGAGACUGCAAGGCUUGAAUCUGGCAGAGGGGGAUGGAAUUCCGCGUGUAGCAGUGAAAUGCGUAGAUAUGCGGAGGAACACCGAUGGCGAAGGCAAUCCCCUGGGCCUGUACUGACGCUCAUGCACGAAAGCGUGGGGAGCAAACAGG